AGCUAGCUUAAGGGGAGGAGGUUUACUCAAGUCUUAUAUUUAGCUCAAAUAUCUCAUCCAAAACCAAUGUGGGAUAACAAACCUCAAAGUAUUUUUCACACUUACUCAUCCAAAUCCUAGGAUCAUUUCCAUCAAAAGUAGCUAACUCUAACUUAGGCAGAAUUUGUGGCAUCCUGUCUAGAAAAGAAAAUUUUCAGAGUUAUUAGAGUUACCUAUAUUUUGCAGAUUUUAGAUCCCUUUAGGGUUGGCCAGUAAAACCUUGCCAUUCCCUAAAACUGACUGAGAUCCAACAUUU
rnacentral:misc_RNA from 1 species